UAAAACUUUCAACAACGGAUCUCUUGGUUCUGGCAUCGAUGAAGAACGCAGCGAAAUGCGAUAAGUAAUGUGAAUUGCAGAAUUCAGUGAACCAUCGAAUCUUUGAACGCACAUUGCGCCCGCCAGCAUUCUGGCGGGCAUGCCUGUUCGAGCGUCAU
rnacentral:rRNA from 1 species